UACAGGGGGUGCAAACGUUGCUCGGAAUCAUUGGGCGUAAAGCGCACGUAGGCGGUUCGUUAUGUCGGAUGUGAAAGCCCUUGGCUUAACCGAGGAAGUGCAUCCGAAACUGGCGAGCUAGAGUACGAAAGAGGAUCGCGGAAUUCCCGGUGUAGAGGUGAAAUUCGUAGAUAUCGGGAGGAACACCGGUGGCGAAGGCGGCGAUCGUCGGGUC
rnacentral:rRNA from 1 species